GAGGGCGUCCUGGCCCCCGGCUACCCCCGGCCCCUGGCCGAGCUCGGCCGCGGCGUCCCCGGUGACCGCCUGGACGCCGCCCUGCUCUGGCUGCCCAGCGGCCACACCUACCUCUUCCGGGGCGACAAGACCUGUCUGGGCUCUUUUUGGGGCUAUUUCUGCACCUUUCAGGACCUUUCUGCACCUUCCAGGACCUUUAUGCACCUUCCAGGACCUUUGUGAACCUUCUGGAACCUUCUGGGAAUUUCUGGGAAUUUUUCUGGAAUUUUUCUGGAAUUUUUGAGGCUUUUCAUGCAUCUUUCAGGACCUGUCUGGGCUCUUUUUGGGGCUAUUUCUGCACCUUUCAGGACCUUUCGGGAUCUUUCUGCACCUUCCUGGACCUUUCUGAACCUUCUGGAACCUCCGGGACCUUCCGGGAAUUUCUGGGAAUUUUUCUGGAAUUUUCGAGGCUUUUUAUGGA